GGAAGUGUGCCUGAAACUAAGGGAUACUUUGAUAAGGUAUACAUGGAGCCAAUAACACUCCCACUUCCC
rnacentral:tRNA from 1 species